UGGUAUUAGUUAAAUCAACUUGUUUCUCUUGUUUUCACCACUUUCUCCUAGAGAGGAUAUACUUUUCUAUAGAAUAAGUAUUUAACAUUUUUUUAAUUAUUUUUUAGAAGUUUCAAUUAUGUUGUUUAUGUGUGGUUUAUGUAAAUAUAAAAAUUAUUAUAUUUUAAAUAAACAUGGUUUUUGUUGUUUUUAACAUAUAAUAACCUGUCAUCUGUCAUUUCUUCUUCUUUUUAGCUGUCAUCUGUCAUUUCUUCUUCUUUUUUGGGCUGUCAUAUGUCAUUUCUUCUUCUUUUUUGGCUGUCAAGUGUCAUUUUUUGAGCAAAUAAUUUAGUAGCAUUUUUGGUAGAUUUUAUCCUCCAUCUAGUAGAAUUUAGUAGAUUUUAUACCUAAAUCUAGUAGAAAACGACGUUCGGUCGUUGGCAACCCUGGACAAGGAACUUCCGAAUAUGGCCUAACUGGGGGCACAUAACAUAACAUAACCUAAUCCUAAUAUUUACAUUUGUAAAGAAUAUCCUGUUUGUUUUUAUUGUCGAUUGUGCAGCGAAAUUGUGUGCAGCAAAUCAAAUAUAAAGUAGUUUAUCGCCUACAGAACUGAAUUAGUCCAUAGCAGUUAUCAGUUUUUCUUUCUUGGGAAGCUUAUACAUGUAACUUGUAUUGUUGUAAAUUGUGGGAGUAGGGCAGACAGGGAAAAGUCUUAUUUUGUACUGUUCCCAAGGCUCCCCAUGCAAUACAUUUAAAUGAAUUAUCCAAACAAAGCCGGGGACAAUGGAUAAAAGCCACAAGAAGAACAGAUAUAAGGGAACUAAAAUUAAAAUAUGAAAAGUAAACAUUUUAUAAGUGGAACAACCACCAGAUAUUUAAAAGGUAUAAAAAGAAGAAACUGCUGGAAUUUCAAAACAAAUGUGUUUGACUAGUAAAGAUUUGGAUAAAUAACAGGAGUUACUUUGGGCUAUAGCUAUGUGCAGAUUUAUUUCCUUGUGGCUUCCUAUGUUAAUUCUUAUUAAUUAUACACUUAAAUAUGUUUUUAGUCUCAGGAAGAUUUUAUAUUUGAUUAUUUUUGAAUAAACAUUAUUAUUAUUAUUACCUUAAUUUCCAUUAAAUAAAUUAACUGUAAUCAAUAAAGUAAUCGUUUAAUUGUUAAUAAAUUAUCAAGUAUGA